rnacentral:rRNA from 1 species
GAUGAACGCUGGCGGUGGGCCUAAUACAUGCAAGUCGAACGGACACACGAUGAGCGCUUGCUCUUAACGGUAGCGGCUGGCGGACGGGUGAGGCAUGCAUCACCUUCUACUAUUUCUUGGAGAAUAUCGUGAAGCCGCUUACGCUACUACCGCAUACGUCGUACCGGUGAGUGCAGUAGAUAUUCGGGCCUUUCGCGACAGUUAUAGACGGUGUCGGAUUAGCUAGUUGGCUGGGUAAGGUCCCACCAAGGCAACGAUACGUAGCUGAUCUGAGAGGAUGAUCAGCCACACUGGAACUGAGACACGGUCCAGACUCCUACGGGAGGCAGCAGUGGGGAAUAUUGCACAAUGGGCGCAAGCCUGAUCCAGCCAUACCGCGUGGGUGAAGAAGGCCUUCGGGUCGUAAAGCCCUUUUGUUGGGAAAGAAAAGCAGUAUGAGAAAACCCCGAUGUUCUGACGGUACCCAAAGAAUAAGCACCGGCUAACUUCGUG